UACGUAGGUGGCGAGCGUUGUCCGGAUUUACUGGGCGUAAAGAGCGCGCAGGCGGUCGUACAAGUUGCGUGUGAAAGCCCCCGGCUCAACUGGGGAGGGUCAUUCGAUACUGCUCGGCUCGAAGACAGGAGAGGGAAGUGGAAUUCCCGGUGUAGUGGUGAAAUGCGUAGAUAUCGGGAGGAACACCAGUGGCGAAGGCGACUUUCUGGCCUGUUCUUGACGCUGAGGCGCGAAAGCUAGGGGAGCAAACGGG
rnacentral:rRNA from 1 species